UUAGAAUUAUCCGUUAACCUAGCGAGUAUAUCUUUGGACAGUUUCAAACAUAGCGCUGAGCAGGUUCUAUUGGCUAACUUGUGUAAAUAAUCUAACAACCCUCUCGCAGUUUUAGCUGUAUUAACCUAAGUACCUCCGCAACAGAAGCCCAGAACUGAAAGAUUGAAAUAACAAAAACAUAAGGAACUACAAUUCAUCCAUGCGUCUUUCUCCACUUAUCAAAUUCUGGGCUGUGGGAGGAGGAUGGAGUCUGUCCCAGCUGUCACGGGUUAAGAGGAAGGGUACAUCCUGGACAGGUUUGGAAAUUUAUCACAGAGCCAACACACAGACUAGCACUCUUGCUCAGUUUGGAAUUACUAAUAAACCUAACCGUCUGCAUGUCUAUGGACUGUGGGAGGAAGCUUGAGUAUCCAGUAAACAUGCAAAGUCCCCACAGAAAGGCCCCAGAUUGCAUUCAAACACAGAACCUCCAUGCCGUGAGGCACCACUGCUAACCAUUGCAUCACUGUGUAGCCCCACCAUCAUCUUAAGUCAUCUGCUGUACUGUUGAGCUUUAUUUAUUGUGGGCCCGGUGGUUUUCAAGCAUUGUGCCGUGAGAUAAAUAAGCUGUUCUGAGGAAGUCGAUGUGUUUCAGGCUGAUGAAAUGGUACUUCAGAAUAACGCAACGACACUGCUGCUUAAUUUAAAUGGGGAUAGAUUUUUUUUUUUUUUUAGCUUUUGCUAGUUCUAAACACCCACGGGCAGCACACUAAGAUACACGUGUUACUUUAUCUGUCUAAUUUUUGUGUUUGAGAUCAUAAACUUAAUUUAAUGUAAUGCAUUUUUACUGCACAAGAUUAUCAAGAUAAUUACAAUAGUUACAGUUAUUAUGGUGUGCCUUGACCUCUAUAUCUUGACCCCAAAGCCUUGAAAAUAGUGUUAAUAGUUUUUCAGACCGAUCAAAAGACUCUUCAGAGAUGUGCAUCACCAAAGGAAGGGGGCCACAGACACUGUUUAUUAUAGGGCCCAGAGUUCUGUGCUACUCCCCUGGUACUAUUAUUCAUGUCUAUAUUCAUAUUAAGCUUUAAUUGAUGCUAGAAACCUUUUUUUUUGUUAUUAGAAUUAGGCAAAGCCCAAAAUGAAUAAACUGUAUGCUGAAAGCAGUUCUGUGUUGUGUCAUGGGAUAGUGAAGCAGCAGCCACCCACAGUGUUUUAACAAUCAUAGACACUCUGGUUUAUGAGAUGAGGUGUGAAAGGUUUCAAGCAACCAGUGGCUGAAAAUGUAACAACAAUAUGUGUGAUUAUGUCCUCUAAAAAU
ensembl:lncRNA